AUACCGGAGAAUGUUAUCACGUGAGACACACGGCGGGUGCUAACGUCCGUCGUGAAGAGGGAAACAACCCAGACCGCCAGCUAAGGUCCCAAAGUCAUGGUUAAGUGGGAAACGAUGUGGGAAGGCCCAGACAGCCAGGAUGUUGGCUUAGAAGCAGCCAUCAUUUAAAGAAAGCGUAAUAGCUCACUGGUCGAGUCGGCCUGCGCGGAAGAUGUAACGGGGCUAAACCAUGCACCGAAGCUGCGGCAGCGAACGUAUCACUUAAAGCGAUUCAGCGGAUGACGAUUGACGGAGCGAAGCGACGUCAAAGCGUAUACAAAGUCGAGUCGGUUUAAGGAUACGUUCGUUGGGUAGGGGAGCGUUCUGUAAGCCUGUGAAGGUGGCCUGUGAGGGUUGCUGGAGGUAUCAGAAGUGCGAAUGCUGACAUAAGUAACGAUAAAGCGGGUGAAAAGCCCGCUCGCCGGAAGACCAAGGGUUCCUGUCCAACGUUAAUCGGGGCAGGGUGAGUCGACCCCUAAGGCGAGGCCGAAAGGCGUAGUCGAUGGGAAACGGGUUAAUAUUCCCGUACUUGGUGUUACUGCGAAGGGGGGACGGAGAAGGCUAUGUUGGCCGGGCGACGGUUGUCCCGGUUUAAGCGUGUAGGUGUGUGUUCCAGGUAAAUCCGGUUCACUUUAACACUGAGGCGUGAUGACGAGGCACUACGGUGCUGAAGCAACAAAUGCCCUGCUUCCAGGAAAAGCCUCUAAGCAUCAGGUAACACGAAAUCGUACCCCAAACCGACACAGGUGGUCAGGUAGAGAAUACCAAGGCGCUUGAGAGAACUCGGGUGAAGGAACUAGGCAAAAUGGUGCCGUAACUUCGGGAGAAGGCACGCUGACACGUAGGUGAAGUGAUUUACUCAUGGAGCUGAAGUCAGUCGAAGAUACCAGCUGGCUGCAACUGUUUAUUAAAAACACAGCA
rnacentral:rRNA from 1 species